CUAAAGAACAGACUAAAUGUGUCGCCUACAGAUAAUAUGGAGAAAGUUAUAACACCACCUGACCGCCAUUGUCAGCGUACAGAUUCCUCCACAAAUCCAGUAAAGGAAAUCGUCAUCAUUGAUGACGUCCCUGCUACUGAAAAUGUUGUGUUCAGGGAUGUUGCGAAGUAUACUGAAGGUGGGAGGGGAAGUCAGGUUAUUACUUCUGGCUUCUCAAUUCCAACAGCUCCAAAUUAUAACCCAAAUUGUGUGCUUCCUUUUUCUUGUUAUCAGUCACAGGAACAUCCUUUCGUUGGUGAAUCACCUAUCGUGUGGAACACUGGCUUUCAUGGAACCCCCACAAAGCUAAGCAACUCAGGUCCCGUUAGUUGGGGAUGUACUUCAGAAGGUUCUGGGGUGCUGCAGCAUAGUCCUUUUACAUCUGCAUCAUCCUCACCUGGUCAUCUAAGA
rnacentral:misc_RNA from 1 species